rnacentral:rRNA from 1 species
GAUGAACGCUGGCGGCGUGCCUAAUACAUGCAAGUCGAGCGAAUGGAUUAAGAGCUUGCUCUUAUGAAGUUAGCGGCGGACGGGUGAGUAACACGUGGGUAACCUGCCCAUAAGACUGGGAUAACUCCGGGAAACCGGGGCUAAUACCGGAUAACAUUUUGAACCGCAUGGUUCGAAAUUGAAAGGCGGCUUCGGCUGUCACUUAUGGAUGGACCCGCGUCGCAUUAGCUAGUUGGUGAGGUAACGGCUCACCAAGGCAACGAGGCAUAGCCGACCGGCGAGGGUGAUCGGCCACACUGGAACUGGGACACGGCCCAGACUCCUACGGGAGGCAGCAGUAGGGAAUCUUCCGCAAUGGACGAAAGUCUGACGGAGCAACGCCGCGUGAGUGAUGAAGGCUUUCGGGUCGUAAAACUCUGUUGUUAGGGAAGAACAAGUGCUAGUUGAAUAAGCUGGCACCUUGACGGUACCUAACCAGAAAGCCACGGCUAACUACGUGCCAGCAGCCGCAGUAA